UCCAUAACACCGACGGCUCCCCCCCUAAAAUAAGGGUGACUCAACUAGAGGUUGUGUACAACAUGUGUACUACGGACUUGUUGCAGAAAGAAGGCCGGGGGGUGGACACAUGAUGACAGAUAUAAAGCGGUAACACAUAGGAUAAAUACUAUAAACAAAGAGCACAAAAACGCACAAAAGUGAAAACAAUAACACAAACAAAAUCACAAACAAUGCUUAUACACUCGCAAUGCCAAACAAAGCCGAUACGACUCCAAAAAUAGCUCGAAUUCUAAAAACUUGU
rnacentral:lncRNA from 1 species